AUCCAGGAAUGGGAAUCGAACCCACAUUGUUCCGCUUACCGGGCAGAUGCCAUGUCCACUAGGCUACCCUGGA
rnacentral:tRNA from 1 species